rnacentral:misc_RNA from 1 species
AAACCAAAAACGUUUUUUACAACGUUAACCCCAAAAUGUUGAACUGUAUCGGAAACGUUGGUGGUUUUUUGGCUAAGUUUCCCUAACGUUUCUUUGUUUUCAUUCAAAAUUUAGCUAUUUUAUUUUAACCCAAUUUCACCUCGAUAUUCAUGUGUAUGAACUUAUCAUUUUUUGAUCCGAAAGGAUUGAAAAAAAAAUCAUACGAAACUUAAAGAA